AUUGAGCGCUGGCGGCAGGCUUAACACAUGCAAGUCGAGCGGAGCGAGGGUGCUUGCACCUUAGCUUAGCGGCGGACGGGUGAGUAAUGCUUAGGAAUCUGCCUAUUAGUGGGGGACAACAUUCCGAAAGGGAUGCUAAUACCGCAUACGCCCUACGGGGGAAAGCAGGGGAUCUUCGGACCUUGCGCUAAUAGAUGAGCCUAAGUCGGAUUAGCUAGUUGGUGGGGUAAAGGCCUACCAAGGCGACGAUCUGUAGCGGGUCUGAGAGGAUGAUCCGCCACACUGGGACUGAAACACGGCCCAGACUCCUACGGGAGGCAGCAGUGGGGAAUAUUGGACAAUGGGCGGAAGCCUGAUCCAGCCAUGCCGCGUGUGUGAAGAAGGCCUUUUGGUUGUAAAGCACUUUAAGCGAGGAGGAGGCUACUAGUAUUAAUACUACUGGAUAGUGGACGUUACUCGCAGAAUAAGCACCGGCUAACUCUGUGCCAGCCGCCGCAGUAACAC
rnacentral:rRNA from 1 species